AGCCCCACAAAUUAUUUUGUCAUCCCCUCAAACUUCAAAUUUUGAUGCCAUAGACCAUCAAAAUAUUAUUUCAAAUCAAGCCCCUCAAAUUACAGAUUUGUCAUCCCCUCAAACUUCUAGUUCUGGCCAUAUAUUAGCAGAUAACCUUAAAAAUUAUCUUAAAUACAUACAACUUGAAAUAAAACAAACACAGAAGAAGAAGGACUAUAUAUGCUACCAAGGGCAUGAAUAUUUGACCCAUACAAGUGGGAAAAAGGCUGUUUACCUUACUUGUCGCAAAAGAUGUGGUGGUAGAGCCAAAUUAAUUAUUGGCCUUGAUUUAAUUAUCACUACUCAACAUUCUUUAGACUGUCAAAACUUAGUAGCUGCUCAAACUUCUAAUGCUAAUCAUGGUAAUGAUUUUUAUAAUAUUAUUUUACCAUUGAUUAAUGUUUUAACAUUAGUCC